CAGAGUUCUGGGCUUUCUAUUUUUGUGGAGCUGUUUUUCAAGUUAUAUCUGCCUUGGUUUUUAUAUAAAAUCUUGAAUAGCUGGAUUUCACGGGACCCAAGAAAAAAUUCCAGAAACAGCUGUGUAAAAAGUGAUGUAAUCUUGAUGUCAACCAUCUUGCACAUAAACAGAAUGGAGUUAGUCUGGACAAACCUACAUUCCCACUGACUGCAUUAUGUUUGGUCAUUUAAGACUUUUUGGUGAAUAGGAUGUAAAUUGAACUUGAGCUUUAGAUCCCUCGAAGGCAGACAUUCUUAACCAACAGG
rnacentral:lncRNA from 1 species